UACGUAGGGUCCGAGCGUUGUCCGGAAUUACUGGGCGUAAAGAGCUCGUAGGUGGUUUGUCGCGUUGUUCGUGAAAACUCACAGCUUAACUGUGGGCGUGCGGGCGAUACGGGCAGACUGGAGUACUGCAGGGGAGACUGGAAUUCCUGGUGUAGCGGUGGAAUGCGCAGAUAUCAGGAGGAACACCGGUGGCGAAGGCGGGUCUCUGGGCAUUAACUGACGCUGAGGAGCGAAAGCAUGGGGAGCGAACAGG
rnacentral:rRNA from 1 species